GGCUAUAUAGCUCAGUGAUAGAGUGCCUGCCUAGAAUGUAUAAGCUCCUGGGUUCAAUCCCAGUACUGCCC
rnacentral:tRNA from 1 species